AGUGGGGAAUAUUGGGCAAUGGGCGAAAGCCUGACCCAGCGACGCCGCGUGGGUGAUGAAGGCCUUCGGGUUGUAAAACCCUUUCGUGCGGAAAGAAUAGUCCUGUAGCGAAUAACUACGGGAUUUGACGGUACCGCAGGAAGAAGCACCGGCUAACUCCGUGCCAGCAGCCGCGGUAAUACGGAGGGUGCAAGCGUUGUUCGGAAUUAUUGGGCGUAAAGGGCGCGUAGGUGGUUGUGAUAGUCAGAUGUGAAAUCCUUCGGCUCAACCGAAGAACUGCAUCUGAAACUUCAUAGCUCGAGUACAGGAGAGGGAAACGGAAUUCCCGGUGUAGAGGUGAAAUUCGUAGAUAUCGGGAGGAACACCAGUGGCGAAGGCGGUUUCCUGGCCUGAUACUGACGCUGAGGCGCGAAAGCGUGGGGAGCAAAACAGGAUUAGAUACCCCUGGUAGUCCACGCGGUAAACGGUGAACACUA
rnacentral:rRNA from 1 species